AGAUUGAACGCUGGCGGCAUGCCUUACACAUGCAAGUCGAACGGUAGAGUAGCAAUACUCGAGAGUGGCGAACGGGUGAGUAAUAUAUCGGAACGUGCCCAGUCGUGGGGGAUAACGUAGAGAAAUUUACGCUAAUACCGCAUACGAUCUAAGGAUGAAAGCGGGGGAUCGCAAGACCUCGCGCGAUUGGAGCGGCUGAUAUCAGAUUAGGUUGUUGGUGAGGUAAAAGCUCACCAAGCCGACGAUCUGUAGCUGGUUUGAGAGAACGACCAGCCACACUGGGACUGAGACACGGACCCAGACCUCCGUACGGGAGCAGCAGUGGGGUAAUUUUGGACAAGUGGGACGAAAGCCUGAUCCGAGCAAGUCGCCGGCGUGCGAAGGAAACGGAAGGCCCGUUUCGGGUUAAGUUAAACGUCGUUACGUUUUAGGUAACGGAAACGUAAAA
rnacentral:rRNA from 1 species